rnacentral:rRNA from 1 species
AACGGCUGGCGGCGUGCCUAAUACAUGCAAGUCGAACGGUCUUUCUAUGGAAGCUUGCUUCCACUGAGAAGAUAGUGGCGGACGGGUGAGUAACACGUGGGUAACCUGCCCAUAAGAGGGGGGAUAACAUCCGGAAACGGGUGCUAAUACCGCAUAGUUUUCUUGAUCGCAUGAUUGAGAAAGGAAAGACGGCCUUUGUGCUGUCGCUUAUGGAUGGACCCGCGGCGUAUUAGUUAGUUGGUGAGGUAAUGGCUCACCAAGACGAUGAUACGUAGCCGACCUGAGAGGGUGAUCGGCCACAUUGGGACUGAGACACGGCCCAAACUCCUACGGGAGGCAGCAGUAGGGAAUCUUCCGCAAUGGACGAAAGUCUGACGGAGCAACGCCGCGUGAGUGAAGAAAGGUUUUCGGAUCGUAAAACUCUGUUGUCAGAGAAGAACAAGUUGGAGAGUAACUGCUCCAGCCUUGACGGUAUCUGACCAGAAAGCCACGGCUAACUACGUGCCAGCCGCCGC